rnacentral:rRNA from 1 species
UACGGGGGGGGCAAGCGUUGUUCGGAAUUACUGGGCGUAAAGGGCUCGUAGGCGGCCAACUAAGUCAGACGUGAAAUCCCUCGGCUUAACCGGGGAACUGCGUCUGAUACUGGAUGGCUUGAGUUCGGGAGAGGGAUGUGGAAUUCCAGGUGUAGCGGUGAAAUGCGUAGAUAUCUGGAGGAAUACCGGUGGCGAAGGCGGCAUCCUGGACCAUUACUGACGCUGAGGCGCGAAAGCUAGGGGAGCAAACGGG